AGCAGCUGAUUCAAAAGUACAGGGAUAGUAUCAGCAGGCCCCUCUUCUGGUACAUAACGUGUUCCUUAAGACGCUUGGAAAUUCAAACAAUAGAGAUCUCUGUAUAUGCUUCUGGGGAGAGGGAAGAGGAAUUGCUUGAUCCUGGAAGUCUUGUGAGAAGACCUGGGGGCCAACCAUGCACGCCAUGUUGGCUGAGAAAGGGAGAGAGGUUCAACACUUGUUUAACAGUCGACUGUGAAUUUUUGAAACACAAUGCCCAAGACAUUUUAUUGAUGAAAGAAAUGUGUUGAUUUUACUCUUGUAGUCACUUUUUAGGCCUUUGUAUAUUGCUGUGACGGUAGACCAUGUUCUGUGGAGGAAGCGGGAUGUCGGACCACAGUCAGUCCCUGUAAAGCAGCUGUGCAAC
rnacentral:lncRNA from 1 species